GAUGAACGCUGGCGGCGUGCCUAAUACAUGCAAGUAGAACGCUGAAGGAGGAGCUUGCUCUUCUGGAUGAGUUGCGAACGGGUGAGUAACGCGUAGGUAACCUGCCUGGUAGCGGGGGAUAACUAUUGGAAACGAUAGCUAAUACCGCAUGACAACAGUUAUUGCAUGAUAACUGUUUAAAAGGGGCAACUGCUCCACUACCAGAUGGACCUGCGUUGUAUUAGCUAGUUGGUGAGGUAACGGCUCACCAAGGCGACGAUACAUAGCCGACCUGAGAGGGGGAUCGGCCACACUGGGACUGAGACACGCCCCAGACUCCUACGGGAAGCAGCAGUAGGGAAUCUUCAGCAAUGGACGGAAGUCUGACCGAGCAACGCCGCGUGAGUGAAGAAGGUUUUCGGAUCGUAAAGCUCUGUUGUAAGAGAAGAACGAGUGUGAGAGUGGAAAGUUCACACUGUGACGGUAUCUUACCAGAAAGGGACGGCUAACUACGUG
rnacentral:rRNA from 1 species